UUCUUCUCAAGCUUGAUUUGGGAAGUUCAGCACAGUAAUUUAAGAAUUUGGCAUGACUCGUAGUAGAGCUAGUUGCUUUGUGUUUUAUCAACAUUCUGCAUCAAAUCCAAUAUUUCAUGAGAAGACUAAGCACAUUGAGAUUGACUGUCAAUUUUGUCAAGUCGACUGAUCAACUUGCAAAUAUCUCACCAGCUCCUCAUCGGUUCUCAUAUUAAUUACAUUUGUAACAAGUUAGGUACAUAUGACUUGUAUGCACCAGGUUGAGGAGGAGUGUUAGAAUAGGAAUAUAUAUAUACAAUCCUACUUAGAAUAGGAAUAGGAAUAGUAUUAGGAACAUGAUUAAUAAAUAGUAUCCUACUUGGUAAAGAAUUGUAUUGUAGUGUCUAUAAAUAGGGUCUCUAUGUAACAAUAUAGAUACAACAAUUCAAUAAUAUUUUUCUCCUAUAUUUCUCACAUGGUAUUAGAGCCUCUACGAUCUUGGUAGAGAAUGAAAGAGCUUCCGCUGUCGGCGGGCGACUCUGGCCAAUGAUUAUGUUAGCGAAAGUUGGGUCAUCGUGUAUCUUUCAAGUGACUAUUUUCUCAUAUCAAAUUUUUGUAGCACCGUGCCAUCAUUCCGAUGACUACUUUCUUAUAUCUAAUUUGUGUAGCAUUGUAUCAUCUUUUUGGUGACUACUUUUUCAUAUUUAAUUUGUGUAGCACCGUGCCAUCAUUCAUAUCUUAUUUGUCUAGCACCAUGCAUCCUUUCAGUGACGACUUUCUCAUAUCCGAUUCGUGUAGCACCGUGCCAUCUUUUCGGUGACUACUUUUUUCAUAUCUGAUUUGCGUAGCAUCAUUUUUUCCGGUGACUACUUCCUUAUUUGUGUAGGGUCGUGCCAUUAUUCCGACCCUACCCGUAUAAUUUCUCUUUUUUAGUAGGGUGGUGUCGUUAAUCAGACUCUACCUAUAUAAUUUCUAUUUACCAAUAGGAUCAUGUCAUCAUUCCGACCCUACCAUAUAAUUCUCUUUCUUAGUAGGAUCGUGUAUCAUUCCGACCCAAUCCGACCCGACCCAUAUAAUUUAUUUCUCAAAUUGUGACCACUUUUAGCCAUCAAAUCUAGUACUCUGACACAUGAGCAUGUUCCAAUUUUGAGCACUUUCUGGCGACCAUGCACCGGGAAGAAGUCUAUAUGGAACAACCAUCUAAUUUUGUUGCUCAAGGGAGUUGAGUAGCCUUGUAUGUUGAAUCUAAAACGUUCUUCUCAAGCUUGAUUUGGGAAGUUCAGCACAGUAAUUUAAGAAUUUGGCAUGACUCGUAGUAGAGCUAGUUGCUUUGUGUUUUAUCAACAUUCUGCAUCAAAUCCAAUAUUUCAUGAGAAGACUAAGCACAUUGAGAUUGACUGUCAAUUUUGUCAAGUCGACUGAUCAACUUGCAAAUAUCUCACCAGCUCCUCAUCGGUUCUCAUAUUAAUUACAUUUGUAACAAG
rnacentral:lncRNA from 1 species